UCCGUGUUAACCACGGCAGUCUCCUUAGAGUGCCCAACUGAAUGAUGGCAACUAAGGACAAGGGUUGCGCUCGUUGCGGGACUUAACCCAACAUGUCACCACACGAGCUGACGACAGCCAUGCAGCACCUGUCUCCCGGUCGUAUUGCUACGAAAGGCAUAUCUCUAUGCCGGUCCAGGGAUGUCAAACCCAGGUAAGGUUCUUCGCGUUGCUUCGAAUUAAACCACAUGAUCCACCGCUUGUGCGGGCCCCCGUCAAUUCCUUUGAGUUUUAGUCUUGCGACCGUACUUCCCAGGCGGGGUACUUAGCGCGUUAGCUCCGAUUCGGCGGGGGUCAAGUCCCUCCAAAUCUAGUACCCAUCGUUUACAGCGUGGACUAC
rnacentral:misc_RNA from 1 species